rnacentral:rRNA from 1 species
AUGGCGGCGCUUCGAGUCGCGGCGAGGAGGCUCGUCGGCGGUGGCCAGACGCCGGCGGUGGCUGUGGACAAGGCGCAGCGCCGGCUCUUCCCGAGGCUCUCCCAGGUCGGCCGGGCUAGGUCCACCACAUCCUCCGCUGCUGCUGCUGCUGCCGCAGACACCAAUGUGGCGGCGACCAAGGGCUGUGAAGAUCGGGAGAAACUCCUGAGAGAGAUCCAUAACAUGAGAGAGGAGCUGUAUGACAAGGUUUCGCACGCGGAAAGGACCUACAGUAUCCCUGGCAGGGCAGGCAAACAUAUCAGUCGGCUGCAUGAGGAGCUCGCCGUGCAAGUGGAUCCUAGACCCGGGGACAGCACAUGCUGGUAUGUGCUCAUGGGCAUGGCCGCUGGUAAGAUCGUUGAAUUGGAUCCAGAUGAAAAGCAAUGGAUCCAGAAGAAAAGAGGGGAGGCGCGCAAGCAAAGUGAAACAAAAUGA